UUAAAUGAAUUGACGGGACCCGCACAAGCGGUGGAUGAUGUGGUUUAAUUCGAUGCAACGCGAAAACCUUACCCACCUUUGACAUGGCAGGAAUCCUGAAGAGAUUUGGGAGUGCUCGAAAGAGAACCUGCACACAGGUGCUGCAUGGCUGUCGUCAGCUCGUGUCGUGAGAUGUUGGGUUAAGUCCCGCAACGAGCGCAACCCUUGCCAUUAGUUGCUACGAAAGGGCACUCUAAUGGGACUGCCGGUGACAAACCGGAGGAAGGUGGGGAUGACGUCAAGUCCUCAUGGCCCUUAUAGGUGGGGCUACACACGUCAUACAAUGGCCGGUACAGAGGGUAGCCAACCCGCGAGGGGGAGCCAAUCCCACAAAGCCGGUCGUAGUCCGGAUCGCAGUCUGCAACUCGACUGCGUGAAGUCGGAAUCGCUAGUAAUCGCGGAUCAGCAUGUCGCGGUGAAUACGUUCCCGGGUCUU
rnacentral:rRNA from 1 species